rnacentral:lncRNA from 1 species
CCAAUAUAUGAGAGAGGUGUAAAAGACAUUGGCUGGCAUUCACUUCUCCUAAAGGCGUGGAUCUUGUGUGUGUGUGUGUGUGUGUGUGUGUGUGUGUGUGUGUGUGUGUGUGUGUGUGUGUGUGUGUGUGUGUGUGUGUGUGUGUGUGUGUGAGCGAGGCGGGGAGAGAGAGCAGUAGUGUGGGACUGCCUCAGAUCACUCCUCGGUGCUAUUGGAGGUAGACCGCAGCCGGCAACAUGAUUCUGUUCACACUUGGACUAUAUUUUCAACUCCUCUGCUAUGUGGCAUCAUUCUCUUACAUGGAUAAUAUAUUCCCUCUUCCAACAGAUCUCCAGUUGCUGGAAACCAGGAAGAAAUUCAACCCCUGCUGUUUACUGAGUCCACCUCCGCCCCCUCUCUUCCCUCCACCCCCUUCCCUGUGGCGGCAGAGCCCUCUGACUGAGACUGAUGUUCCACCAAAUGUCCCAUACAAUCCCACACCUCAAACAUGCUCCCCAGGACCUCCGGGACCAGCAGGACCUCCUGGCCCUCAGGUAUGUGCUUCCAAUUUUCAUGUUGAGGAUGAAACAUAGUUGGAUGUCCA